GAUGAACGCUAGCGGCAGGCUUAAUACAUGCAAGUCGAGGGGCAGCAUGACUGUAGCAAUACAGUUGAUGGCGACCGGCAAACGGGUGCGGAACACGUACAGAACCUUCCUUCGAGCGGGGAAUAGCCCAGAGAAAUUUGGAUUAAUACCCCAUAGUCCAACGGAGUGGCAUCACUUUGUUGUUAAAGAUUUAUCACUUGAAGAUGGCUGUGCGGCUGAUUAGGUAGUUGGCGGGGUAACGGCCCACCAAGCCUGCGAUCAGUAACUGGUGUGAGAGCACGACCAGUCACACGGGCACUGAGACACGGGCCCGACUCCUACGGGAGGCAGCAGUAAGGAAUAUUGGUCAAUGGACGAAAGUCUGAACCAGCCAUGCCGCGUGGAGGAUGAAGGUCCUCUGGACUGUAAACUUCUUUUAUAUGGGACGAAAAAAGGGUUUUCUAACUCGUCUGACGGUACCAUAUGAAUAAGCACCGGCUAACUCCGUGCCAGCAGCCGCCGUAAGAC
rnacentral:rRNA from 1 species